CAGCAGCCACGGGAAUACGUAGGUGGCAAGCGUUGUCCGGAAUUAUUGGGCGUAAAGGGCUCGCAGGCGGUUUCUUAAGUCUGAUGUGAAAGCCCCCGGCUCAACCGGGGAGGGUCAUUGGAAACUGGGAAACUUGAGUGCAGAAGAGGAGAAUGGAAUUCCACGUGUAGCGGUGAAUGCGUAGAGAUGUGGAGGAACACCAGUGGCGAAGGCGACUCUCUGGUCUGUAACUGACGCUGAGGAGCGAAAGCGUGGGGAGCGAACAGGAUUAGAGACCCCUGUAGUCCCUGUCUCUUAUACA
rnacentral:rRNA from 1 species